rnacentral:rRNA from 1 species
GACAGAGGAUGCAAACGUUAUCCGGAAUGAUUGGGCGUAAAGCGUCUGUAGGUGGCUUUUCAAGUCCGCCGUCAAAUCCCAGGGCUCAACCCUGGAUAGGCGGUGGAAACUACCAAGCUGGAGUACGGUAGGGGUAGAGGGAAUUUCUGGUGGAGCGGUGAAAUGCAUUGAGAUCGGAAAGAACACCAACGGCGAAAGCACUCUGCUGGGCCGACACUGACACUGAGAGAUGAAAGCUAGGGGAGCAAAUAGG